AACGAACGCUGGCGGCGUGCCUAACACAUGCAAGUCGAACGGAAUUAGAGAGCUUGCUCUUUAAUUUAGUGGCGCACGGGUGAGUAACGCGUAGAUAAUCUGCCUGGUGAUCUGGGAUAACACUUCGAAAGAGGUGCUAAUACCGGAUAAGCCCACGGGAACUUUGGUUCUUGCGGGAAAAGGGGGGGACCUUCGGGCCUUCUGUCAUCAGAUGAGUCUGCGUACCAUUAGCUAGUUGGUAGGGUAAUGGCCUACCAAGGCGACGAUGGUUAGCUGGUCUGAGAGGAUGAGCAGCCACACUGGAACUGAGACACGGUCCAGACUCCUACGGGAGGCAGCAGUGGGGAAUUUUGCGCAAUGGGCGAAAGCCUGACGCAGCAACGCCGCGUGAGUGAUGAAGGCUUUCGGGUCGUAAAGCUCUGUCAAUGGGAAAGAAGUGUAUUGUGGCUAAUAUCCACGAUACUUGACGGUACCCAUAAAGGAAGCACCGGCUAACUCCGUGCCAGCCGCCGCCGUAA
rnacentral:rRNA from 1 species